UUUCCGUAGGUGAACCUGCGGAAGGAUCAUUAACACUUUUUAUCUCUCUUUUUUUUCUCUCCUUUUUAACAAAAAAGAAAAAAAAAACCCAAACUUGUGUGGAAAUGUCCAAAAAAAAAAAAAAACUGGCAGGAGAAGGAAAUUUUCUUUCCUUAAAAAACAAUUUUUUUUUUUCUUUUUAUUUUAAUAAAAAACCCUUUUUUUUUUAAAAGAAAAAAAGCGUUAAAUUACCUUUUUUAAGGAAAAUUUUUGAUGUGUUGAUUCUUUUCUCACCUCAACAAAUUUUUACACUAAAUUCACAAAAACAAAAACAAAAAAAAUCUAAUAAUAAAAAAAACUAAGAUACAACUCUUAACAAUGGAUAUCUUGGUUCUC
rnacentral:misc_RNA from 1 species